ACCUAGCUGGCUCAAUCAGAAGGGCAUGUGACUCUUGAUCUUGAGGUUGUGUGUUUAAGCCCCAUGUUGGGUA
rnacentral:tRNA from 1 species